GGAUAGAGCAUCAGCCUGCGGACUGAAAGGUCCCGGGUUCGAUUCCCGUCAAGGGCGCGAACCUCCUGCCUCGGUGGCAGGCUCCUCCCCGGCCUGC